GACGAACGCUGGCGGCGUGCCUAAUACAUGCAAGUCGAACGAGAGCACCCGGUGCUUGCUCUGGUCAAUCUAGUGGCGAACGGGUGAGUAACACGUGGGUAACCUGCCCAUCAGAGGGGGAUAACAUCCGGAAACGGAUGCUAAAACCGCAUAGGUCUUCGAACCGCAUGGUUUGAAGAGGAAAAGAGGCGCAAGCUUCUGCUGAUGGAUGAACCCGCGGUGCAUUAGCUAGUUGGUGAGGUAACGGCUCACCAAGGCCGUGAUGCAUAGCCGACCUGAGAGGGUGAUCGGCCACAUUGGGACUGAGACACGGCCCAAACUCCUACGGGAGGCAGCAGUAGGGAAUCUUCCGCAAUGGACGCAAGUCUGACGGAGCAACGCCGCGUGAGUGAAGAAGGUUUUCGGAUCGUAAAACUCUGUUGUUAGAGAAGAACAAGUGCUAGAGUAACUGUUAGCGCCUUGACGGUAGCUAACCAGAAAGCCACGGCUAACUACGUG
rnacentral:rRNA from 1 species